UACGUAGGGGGCAAGCGUUGUCCGGAUUUAUUGGGCGUAAAGAGCGUGUAGGCGGUUAUACAGGUCCGCUGUGAAAACUCGAGGCUCAACCUCGAGACGUCGGUUGAAACCGUACGGCUAGAGUCCGGAAGAGGAGAGUGGAAUUCCCGGUGUAGCGGUGAAAUGCGCAGAUAUCGGGAAGAACACCCGUGGCGAAGGCGGCUCUCUGGGACGGUACUGACGCUGAGACGCGAAAGCGUGGGGAGCGAACAGG
rnacentral:rRNA from 1 species